GACGAACGCUGGCGGCAUGCCUAAUACAUGCAAGUCGAGCGAACAGAUGAAGUGCUUGCACUUCUGACGUUAGCGGCGAACGGGUGAGUAACACGUAAGGAAUCUACCUAUAAGCGGGGGAUAACAUUCGGAAACGGGUGCUAAUACCGCAUAGUAUCUUCCUCCGCAUGGAAGAAGAUUGAAAGACGGCUCUGCUGUCACUUAUAGAUGACCUUGCGGUGCAUUAGUUAGUUGGUGGGGUAACGGCCUACCAAGACGAUGAUGCAUAGCCGACCUGAGAGGGUGAUCGCCCACAUUGGGACUGAGACACGGCCCAAACUCCUACGGGAGGCAGCAGUAGGGAAUCUUCCGCAAUGGGCGAAAGCCUGACGGAGCAAUGCCGCGUGAGUGAAGAAGGCCUUCGGGUCGUAAAACUCUGUUAUAAGAGAAGAACAAAUUGUAGAGUAACUGCUACAGUCUUGACGGUAUCUUAUCAGAAAGCCACGGCUAACUACGUGCCAGCCGCCGCCGUAA
rnacentral:rRNA from 1 species